CCCCCGGUGUCAGCAAAAGAGGUUUCUGCUGCUGCCGCCGACAGACUGGCCCGGGAGGCGGUCUCGCCCUUCUCUUCCCUGCGCUCCGUCAGCACCGCGCACAAUGAGAAAAUGAAAGCUACCCUUUUGCGCUGGUGCGCUGGUGCACUGGACUCCAUCGCUGUGGCUGCUCGCUUACAGGGGGCAUGCGGGAGGCCAGGGAGGCCUUGGCUCUAAAGCCGUGGCAGCCGCUGGCUCGCUGCCCGGGCAGCCACCUCCAACUGCAGCUGUCGCUGUUCUUUGCAACACCCCACAUCCUGAGCUGGCUCCUGAGGCCUGCUCCUGGGAGAGCGUGAAUACAACAGGGGAGAGUCCUGCGCAGAGUCUGUUCCUUCCUGGCCUGGGAAGGAGCUGGGGAAAGAAGUAACUAGACUUGAACCUGCAGGGUCUUGAAGGGAUGGCGGCCGGGGGUCCUGCGCAGUUCAAUGACCGGUUCUUGUCCAAACCACUGAAACAGUACUCAGACUGCUGGAAAAGUUUGAAAAUGAACCAGCUCUCCCAUGUCCUCCUCAGAAUGGCCCCUUCAAACCGAGGACGCUCCCACCAGCCGCUUGCCUUAUUAUUUUCACUCUUUAGCAUCGUCUAAACUUCUCUUUCUCAAUGUGUUCCCCCCUUAAUUGUGUGUUGAAUUAUCUGGUAGGUCGUAGACGCUUUGGAUAGAAGACCGUUGGUCUCUUUUGCUCCAGGGCCAAGCCCAGUGUCUGGCCCAUCUGUUAAAGGAAUGAAUGAGUAGGGCUGAGACAAGCUGCCUGCCCACUAAUCCAUCCGGUCUUUGGAUUUUUCAACCUUCUGUUUGGACAAGGUGGGUUCAUGUGCCUAUUGAAAGGAACUGGUUAUACUUGGGAGUGUAGAAAUGUAUCAGCUCCGAAGGGAUGGCUCAGUGGACCCAGUUUCAGUUGCCAGUUCCCGCAUGGUAGCUCACCACCUCCCAUAACUCCAGUCUCCCAUAACCUCUUCUGGUCACUGAGGUACCAGGCACAUACAUGCUACACAUACACGCACAUAGGCAUGCAUACAUACAUACAUGCAUGCAUGCAUACAUACAUACAUACAGGUAAGAAACCCUUAAAAUAAAUUCAUCGUGGAAAGAAAAGAAGAAAUGCAUCUUUGGGAUGCAGCAGUUAGGAGUACUUGUUUUUCUUCCUGAGGACCCAAGUGCAGUUUCCAGAACCCACAUCUGACUGCUCACUACUGCCUAGAGCCCCAGCGUCUAAGGAUCUGACAUCCUCUUCCGCACACACAUAACCAUAAGUAGAAAGUAAAGGACAGGGCUGGAGAGAUGGCUCAGCGGUUAAGAGCAUGGACUGCUUUUAUAGAGGUCCUGAGUUCAAUUCCCAGCAACCACAUGUUAGCUUGCAACCAUCUGUAAUGGGGUCUGGUUGGUGCCCUCUUCUGGUGUGUCUGGUGUGUCAGAAGAUAGCUACAGUGUACUUAUAGUAUAUAAAUAAAAAUUAAGU
rnacentral:lncRNA from 1 species